ensembl:snRNA U6 U6 spliceosomal RNA
GUGCUUGCUGUGGCAGCACAUAUAUGAAAACUGAAAUGAUACUGAGAAGAUUAGCACAGCCCCUGUGCAAGGAUGACACGCAAAUUUAUCAAAUGCUCCAAAAAUGU